GCGGAAUGCAGGCCGGUGUGUGAGGUGAUUGUAACCAGAAACGCCUAGGCAGGCAUCUCGCUUCUGUCCUGAGCGGCCGCUGGCAGGCAGCCGGACCGGGAGCCGGGAGCCGGUCCGAGGUGCCCUGACUCGCCGCUGACCGCCCCUCCUGGGCCGCGCCGAUAGCUUAUCGGGUCCACUCUGGGGGCGCCCAGUGCUACAACCGGAAACGCGGCUGGAGGCCAGUGGAUGCUUGAUGGAGCAGUUCGCGCCGUGGUGCGCGCGCGCCAGGGCUUAGGCUCCAAGUAAAGGCCUUCUUCAUCCAUCCACCCACAACCAGGGGGCCUCAUAAGACCUGUUGAGGGGCCCUGCAACACUGUAUACAGAAUCGCCUAUUUAAAAAAAUACACCCAAAAUACAAUUUUGAGACCAGCAUCCAGGCUCUGAAGACCUGUGACAGCCAUCCAUGGAGUCAUGUUAAGAACCUCCACUCCAACUAACCCAAAGCUCACAGCCCUGGAGGAGAAGAAGCCUGUUUGGGGAAUUCUACCUUGGCUCCAUGUCUCUGAAGAGGCUUGUCCCAGGGAAUAUAAUGGGAUCCUCGCUCACACACAACCCAACAGCCGACCCACAAUGGCACACCUCCCAGUUAUUGCCUUAGUCCGGCAAACCCCUGGCUAAGCAUCCACAGCCGAGCUGAGGGCAGUGAGAAAAGUUCAAGUCGCCAGCUGAAGUGGUCUUUAACACCCCCCCCCCGGCCUUCUCAGCCUCACUGUUUAUCCAUAUGAAGCGCUCUCCUUCCCGGCCCACUUCCACCCCCACCUUUCUGAGAUCGGCUAUAAAAA
rnacentral:lncRNA from 1 species